AGUGAACGCUGGCGGUAGGCCUAACACAUGCAAGUCGAACGGCAGCACAGUAAGAGCUUGCUCUUACGGGUGGCGAGUGGCGGACGGGUGAGGAAUACAUCGGAAUCUACUUUUUCGUGGGGGAUAACGUAGGGAAACUUACGCUAAUACCGCAUACGCCCUACGGGUGAAAGCAGGGGAACUUCGCACCUUGCGCGAAUGAAUGCGCCGAUGGCGGAUUAGCUGGUUGGCGGGGUAAAGGCCCACCCAGGCGACGAUCCGUGGCUGGUCUGAGAGGAUGGUCAGCCACACUGGAACUGAGACACGGUCCAGACUCCUACGGGAGGCAGCAGUGGGGAAUAUUGGACAAUGGGCGCAAGCCUGAUCCAGCCAUACCGCGUGGGUGAAGAAGGCCUUCGGGUUGUAAAGCCCUUUUGUUGGGAAAGAAAAGCAGCAGGUUAAUACCCCGCUGUUCUGACGGUACCCAAAGAAUAAGCACCGGCUAACUUCGUG
rnacentral:rRNA from 1 species